CCGGCACGGGUGAGUAACGCGUAUGCAACCUGCCUGACACAGGGGGAUAAUCCGAAGAAAUUUGGUCUAAUACCCCAUAAUACCGAUAUAGGCAUCUAUGUUGGUUGAAAGCUUUGGUGGUGUCAGAUGGGCAUGCGUUGUAUUAGCUAGUUGGUGAGGUAACGGCUCACCAAGGCGACGAUACAUAGGGGGACUGAGAGGUUAACCCCCCCACACUGGUACUGAGACACGGACCAGACUCCUACGGGAGGCAGCAUG
rnacentral:rRNA from 1 species